CGAAGGUGGCAAGCGUUGUUCGGAUUUACUGGGCGUACAGGGAGCGUAGGCGGUUGGAUAAGCCCUCCGUGAAAUCUCCAGGCUUAACCUGGAAAGUGCAGAGGGGACUGUUCAGCUAGAGGAUGGGAGAGGAGCGCGGAAUUCCCAGUGUAGCGGUGAAAUGCGUAGAGAUCGGGAGGAAGGCCGGUGGCGAAGGCGGCGCUCUGGAACAUUUCUGACGCUGAGGCUCGAAAGCGUGGGGAGCAAACAGGAUUAGAUACCCUGGUAGUCCACGCCUUAAACGAUGGAUACUAAGUGUCGGCGGGUUACCGCCGGUGCCGCAGCUAACGCAGUAAGUAUCCCGCCUGGGAAGUACGGCCGCAAGGUUG
rnacentral:rRNA from 1 species